GGUGUUCCCUCUGGGGGCUGGAGAGGUGAUUUGAACCAGGUGCGGGGAAUUUAAUUAAUUAAGUAGUUUGCUGUGUUUGGAGCUGGAGCUUGAGUGCAGCAGUCUGCUGGAGAGAAGUCCUCAAGUGUUUGCUGUUGACUGCUUUGCAAAUACUUUGCUAAGGACUGGAGAUCCUGGUUAGCUUUGACUAGCUUGGCAUGUACCUAAUAGAAAACAGUGAGAGAAAUGCGGAUGAAACCCUGCUGCGCCCCUGCUCCCCUGAAGCCCCCCAGAAACCCUCCAGCAGCCGUGGAGCCCCCCACCGACCCCCAGCACAGCUGGAGUUACUACAGCAAGCAGCAAAAUCCAUGAAGAUCCUGAAAUGAGUUCCUGCAGACAGAGCCAGUGCCACUAACUCUUGAUUUUAAUACUUACUGCAACUGGAAGCACAAAGGCUGUAAAGGCCAGACUGACUUUGAACUUGGAUAUUCAGCUCGGUGUUGCAAGCCAGAGUGGGACAGAAUUUGUGAUCCAGAGAGGGAGUGGGAAUGGUGCUCCGAUAUCGGUGGCACCUUGAAGAUGGAGGAGGAGGAGGAAGGCCCUGUAGUGCUGGAUACCAUCCAAAUGUAUAGUAAUAGAAAGUUCCUUCUCAAUGGAGUAUACAUAAGACCAAACAAGCCUGGGAGGGGAAAGGUCCUUGAAAGGAAAAGUGACUUGGCCAAAGUCAUACAACAAUAAAUGCAGAUCACAAAUCCAGAUCCUGUGAUCCUGCCUACAUUCUGUGCUGCUGUUAUGGCUUUCCAUUAGAAUACCAUUAUUUUUUAACACAAAAUCUUUACUUAUUUUACAAUGAAAGAAAGUGAAGAGCUAAAAUACAUUUUAAAAAAAGGUUGGUCAUUCUGAAUUCCUGUUAAUAAAAUAAAAUUAAAAAACAACAAACAGAUAUUUCAAUGAUGCACCCUAUUUGAUGGAUGAAAACUUUUGUUGAUUACAUCCAAAUUCAUUGGUGAGUCAAAGAAGAGGGUUUUUUAUUUAUUUAUUUAUUUAUUUAUUUAUUUAUUGGUUUCAAUUUUGUGGUGAAUGUCUACACUUGCAUGUCUAUACUUUUAUAAAAUUCCAUUCAAGCUCUAUUUAAUAUGCACCAGAAUUAUUGUACUUGUAUAUCAACUUUAAAUCUGCUUCAAUACAACCUUAAAUGCCUUUCUUGCAGUAUAUCACUUCAUCAGUCUAGCUUAACUAGAGCUACUUUGUCAUUUUUUAUUGCCCCCAUAAAAUCUACGAAUGGAACACUUGGAUUUUCUAGCAGUAAGUUUUAUUACUUAGGCUUUUUUUAAAGUACUUGUCAAUGAGAUACAGUACUUGCACAGAGUACAUUUUUCAGCUCUGCAUUAUACUGUUAUUUCAAUUUAUUUUAGACAGAAUACGUAACAUUCAUCUAAAUAAUACCUAUGGUAUUUUAAAUGAGUGUAUUCUGAAUAUAAUUAGAAUGGAUAUAAAGCUACUUCGUCCAUCAAGAUUCCUAUAUUUUGUUGCCUGCAUCUAAGCGUAUGGCAUCUUUCAAGUAAGCCUUUAAAUGAUAACUCACAUUGUGCUUUUAAUGCUGCACAUAAAAUCAUAUCACAAUGUGGGGGAGGGAGGGAAAUUAGUUUCUUGUAAUUUUUAUGUUUUAAUUUCCAUUUUUUUAGAGCUGUCUAGAUUUUUCCUUGGAGUGAGUUGUACCAGAACUUUUUAUUCCCCUCCCCUCCACAACCUUAGGCAUGUAGAAAUUGCCAUAUUAGAUCAGGUCGGUGAUCUAUCUUGUCUAGUAGUCUGCCUGUUUCUUAGACUCGUAACAGGAAAAUGUGAAAUAUGAUGCUACGUGUUAGGGAAAUGCCUGUUCACUGAGCGAGAUUCUUCCUAACCCGCUUCAGUUUUAGUUUAGUGUGUGCCCUGUAGUACAAAGAUUUAUAGCUUUCCCAGAAAAAAAAUGGACAAACAGUUGUUUAAUUCUCCCCUUCCCUUCCCUCAUUGGAGAUAUUGGUUCUAUUCUAGGUCCUGCUGCCUUUCUUGACUUUCCUCAGGCAAGUCAUUUCACCUUUCUGUUCCUUGAUUUCCUCUUGUGUCAUUAUCCUGACCUUAGGUUAAAGCCUUGAGGACCUACAAAUCAAAUAUACAAUUUAAGAUCUAGACAGUAGUGGAUUUAAAACAUAUUUUAAUUCUUAAUAUUGUAACUGCAGAUGUUCACACCAUUCAUCUAAAUGUCCAGUUCUUUGGUAAUGCUGAACAUCUCUUGGCCCCAGUGGUGUAUUGUGGCUCAAUGUUCCACUCUCUAAUUGUAUACUAUGUAAGAAUUAUUUUUUUUUGUUUUUAAUCAGUUAAAGUGAACUGUUAUUUUCCAGAAAUCUUAGGGAUUGAAGAUGACAUGGGGUAGAGAGGCAGCUUUGCAUAUCAACUGAUGGAUGAAAUUGUGUGUUUACAGUCAGCAUUUGCAUUAAAACAUCCAAUUAGCUUUUGCACUGUUUCCAUUAGUAGUGUUAAAUGUGAACUUAUAUACAUGAGAAAUUAAUGUUUCUGUAAGAAAAAGAAAACUGUAACCAGAUGCGUCUAAACAGCCCUCCUCAGCUAUGUAAUAAAUAUCCCCUUGUUAUUCUCAUUAUGUUGAAUGAAUAUUAAUAAUACAUUUUAAAUAAUACCUAUCAUAAUAUAGCGUGAGUGGGGAAUAGGAACACCUCUCUAACUAAUUAGAGCUGUUGAAUGACAUUGGGAAAGGGUUCUGGGUUGAAUCACCGUUCCUUGGACAGGAUUGAAUUAGCAUAGUUUUAAUGCCAGUGAUAAUUCUAUGCAGUUGUGAGAUAAGUAGUUUAAUGCAUCUGGCAGAGAGACAGGGAUUUUCUUUCUCUUACAGCACUGAAUAACCCCCUAUAAUCCUUUUCCUUUAGCGCUCACGUCUAUCCAGGCUUCAGUUUAAUAAAAGGCCAAAGAAAUCAGGAUUCUGCUGAGCUUCUGUGGCUCAAACACAGAGAGAAUGAGAUGUUAUCUCAGGGUGGUUGUGGUUCAGAAUCAUUAAAAAGAUGAAUGGGGGGAUUGGAGGGGUAUGUUUAUAUUUCCAAUUGCUUGUAUACUGCAGAAGACACCCUUCUUAACAGUAAAGUGUAUAUGCUUUCUUUAAUCCAGUAGCCCAAGAACUAAGAGGACAAAAGAGAGCUUGGAGCAAUCACUACUUCGGAGUUUUAUUUUUACAACAUUUUGUAUAUGUUUGUAUUAAUUUGUAUUAAAGCUGGACCAAAUCUG